CAAAACUUAAGAAAGGAUGGGGGGAGGACAAAACAAAAGAAGUUAUAAAGCCACUGGCGCCAUCAAUCUCUUAGAACUCAUCGGAGCCAGAAAAGGAGCCUGAUGCAACACAGUGCAGGGGCAGCAUGGCUACAACCCUGUGUCUGCACUUCUGAAGCCAGGACACAAAAGCAGGCAGGUGUGGAGCUCUGACAUUUGGAGGACAAAGACAGCAGAAAAUGAACUGCAAUAUACAGUCCAAGCCUUCAGUAGAUCCCAGAUGAGUUCCAGAACAAUCACAGCAGACAGAUUCUCCCAAGAAUAUGGAAUUAACCAGCCUCUUCUGGGAUGAGUUCUGAAAUGGAUCCUUUCACCUGAAAGGCAAGGAGUUGGAGAAUGUAGAUUCAAUACCCACUCAAGUGUUGGUAAGAAGCCAGGGGCCCUGCCUCUACCUCGGAUGCUAACCAAGGAGCCUGGAUGGUUGUCUCUCUGCUCCUGCUUCUUACCUACAGCUCAAGGCCUGAUCAUUGUAAUUGCUGCAUUUAGAAGCCAGCGCCCACCACAGCAAUCAGACCACCAGCAGAUUUCUCAGGGAGGGGCUGGCUCUCCUCACCAUGGCAAGCAUGCCUUCUCUCUGAGAGGCUGGAAUCUGACUGAUCAGCAG
rnacentral:lncRNA from 1 species